rnacentral:rRNA from 1 species
CGUCGACCGGCGCACGGGUGAGUAACGCGUAUCCAACCUGCCCUUUACUUGGGGAUAACCCGUUGAAAGACGGACUAAUACCCAAUGAUAUUCAUUGAUGACAUCUGAUUUGAAUUAAAGAUUUAUCGGUAUAGGAUGGGGAUGCGUCUGAUUAGCUUGUUGGUGAGGUAACGGCUCACCAAGGCCACGAUCAGUAGGGGUUCUGAGAGGAAGGUCCCCCACAUUGGAACUGAGACACGGUCCAAACUCCUACGGGAGGCAGCAGGG